rnacentral:lncRNA from 1 species
GGCCCAUAAUAGUACAGAGAUUCCUCAAAGAGAUUCCUGAACAAUUAGGACAGUCCACUGAGGAAUUGGGGAAAUAAAUAAAAACCCAGAAGUUUGGAAGAAUGGACAAGGGAGUCUGAAGAAAUUCCCAUUGGAUUGUCUAAGCUCUUUCAAUGAUUAUUAUUGUUAGAUGUGCUAAAGAACUUACUACUUGGAGCUGAGAUUUAUGAGCCAUGUAAAAGGAUAUG